CCCCUCCCCUCCCCUUACUCCACCCCCCUAUGAAAUUCCUCUUCCAUCCAGGCUAGCCCUCUCUCUGCCACCUGCUGCUGUGUCAGUAAGGAGGGUAGGGGAGCCAGCCCCAGGUUUGUAAUAAUAAAGACUCUGCUUUUGCAUCGGACUCGGCUGGAUCCUGAAAUCUGGGCAUAACAAUCUCAAGCAGCGCGACUGACUGUGUGAACUCAGACGAGCACUGCUUCUUCUCAGAGGAAGGAAAUAACCCAAUUAACAUUCCAGCAGGAGGAAUUACAACAGAUCAGCAGCCACCAAACUUGAUUUCAGAAUCAGCUCUUCCAACUUCCCUUGGGGCCACAAACCCAACGAUGAACAGCUCAAAUUCUGGAAACAAUGGGACCCUCAGCAAUAGACCAGCAGCUGGCGUUCGGAAAGGCUGGCAUGAAGAUGUCACCCAGGACAUGCGGAGCCACCUAGUGCAUAAACUCAUCCAAGCCAUCUUCCCAACACCUGACCCUGCAGCCCUGGAGGAUCCCCGCAUGGAGAACAUAGUGGCCUACGCUAAGAAAGUAGAAGGGGACAUGUAUGAGUCUGCCAACAGCCGGAAAAAGGAAAAAAAAAAUUAGGUCCCUGCACAACUCUCUGUGUUUACUGUAGUAUCCACCACUACAGGUAAUGAGGUAUACAAAACUGCAUUUUAUCCAUGUCCAUGUCCAUGUCGAUGUGGGCGCUGUUUGUUAUGCUUAUACUAUGUUAUUGCCAGCACCAGUGACUAGCCAAGAGGUUCAACUGUGGCAAGAAAAGUAACAUGCAUUUAGUACCUACUGUCUAUUAAAUCUUGUAAUGUAACUAGUUCAACAAGAAUUUUGGCCUUUGGUUUUUUAGUUAGGAGUGUUGAAGACUUACUUUGUUA